rnacentral:rRNA from 1 species
UACGGAGGAUCCGAGCGUUAUCCGGAAUUAUUGGGUUUAAAGGGUGCGUAGGCGGCCUGGUAAGUCAGGGGUGAAAGACGGUGGCUCAACCAUCGCAGUGCCUUUGAUACUGCCGGGCUUGAAUGUACAUGAGGCAGGCGGAAUGUGGCAAGUAGCGGUGAAAUGCAUAGAUAUGCCACAGAACACCGAUUGCGAAGGCAGCUUGCCAGGGUACGAUUGACGCUGAGGCACGAAAGCGUGGGGAUCAAACAGG